AAGUCGAACGAUGAUAUCACUGCUUGCAGCGAUUGAUUAGUGGCGAACGGGUGAGUAACACGUGAGGAACUUGCCCAUGAGCGGGGGACAACAUUCGGAAACGGAUGCUAAUACCCCAUAGGUGGAUUGGUCGCAUGACGAAUUCAUUAAAGGUGGCUUUGCUACCACUCAUGGAUAGCCUCGCGGCGUAUUAGCUAGUUGGUAAGGUAAUGGCUUACCAAGGCAGUGAUACGUAGCCGACUUGAGAGGGUGAUCGGCCACACUGGGACUGAGACACGGCCCAGACUCCUACGGGAGGCAGCAGUAGGGAAUCUUCCACAAUGGGUGCAAACCUGAUGGAGCAAUGCCGCGUGAGUGAAGAAGGUCUUCGGAUCGUAAAGCUCUGUUGUUAGAGAAGAACACGUGCUAGGUAACUACUAGCGCCUUGACGGUAUCUAACCAGAAAGUCACGGCUAACUACGUGCCAGCAGCCGCGGUAAUACGUAGGUGACAAGCGUUGUCCGGAUUUAUUGGGCGUAAAGGGAGCGCAGGCGGUCUGUUUAGUCUAAUGUGAAAGCCCACGGCUUAACCGUGGAACGGCAUUGGAAACUGACAGACUUGAAUGUAGAAGAGGAAAAUGGAAUUCCAAGUGUAGCGGUGGAAUGCGUAGAUAUUUGGAGGAACACCAGUGGCGAAGGCGAUUUUCUGGUCUAACAUUGACGCUGAGGCUCGAAAGCGUGGGGAGCGAACAGGAU
rnacentral:rRNA from 1 species